CUAUCUUUAGCCCAUGAGAGCACCCUUCAAUUGUUCUGCACUUCAAACAAUAGCCCCACGUGGAGCAGAGAAGGAUUGCUGGCUUUACCACAGCGUUUUGCACCGAAAUACAGCCUUAGAGACACCAGAUUUCUGUCAGCCCUGGCUGAAGCUGGUGCUUAUACUACAGGGAAGCCAAGGUUCCAGAGUGUCUUGGUUUUGGUUUUUUUUGUAUGAUGGGCCAGCAAGAGGUUUGGCUCCCCGAGGAGAUGUUUGAACUCUCUUCCAUGAAAAUAGCCCUAUUGUUCUGUCUUUAGGAUCUGAUGCUGGGCAUCACAUCAUCUCCUCCUGCCGUGCCUUUGGAGCUGCUCUAUUGCAAGCACUGGUUCCUGCACUGAUGCCCAAAUAUCCUGAGGGUACCAGGGAAGCCGUUCUGGGGUCAGGCUCGGCUGAGGAGGAGAGCAGGGUCAUGGCACAACUAUUCAUUCCUGAUGUUGGCUCGAGUUUCAAUUGUCUGAGCGCAGGGCAGCCUUUGAAAGGGGAUGCGACAGCCCAAAGCCACAAAGCCCAUCUUUGAAGGCUCUUUAACAGGGAGAGGAGAGGUUUACAAAUAUAAAAUGCUUUUCUUUAAACUUUGCCGGACUCUAUUUUUAGCAAAUAAAGAUAAUAGCCCAGUU